CAGUGAAAACCACGUGAUCAUCCACGAGAGCGGUCCAGAGUCGCUGAGACAACCAGAACUGCUGAGGCCGGAGAUUUCGAGAUAACACGGUGUGCAGCUGGAUGAACACAGCAGGUCAAGCUGUACCAGAGGAGCAGGAAAGCUGACGUUUCGGGCUUGGACCCUUCGUUGAGACCAAGAUUUGUGCAACUGAGAUACCAGUGAUCGUUGCCAAAGCCCUGUUGCCUGUGGAGAAGUUUAAUUUUCGUGUCUUGCUGCAGUUUGUAUGAUGAAGGUGCUCCCACAAUGCGGCCAUUUGAGAAGUUACAGAUCAUUCUUCUAGCAAUUUUGAAGAGCUAACAGACUACGCGCUGGUCGCUGUUAUCAAUCCUGUCACGGACAGGUGCAUCUGCAGCUGGGAAAUUUGUGACGAUGAGACCAGCUAUGUUUUUCCCUUCUGUUGGUUGUGGCACCACCUGCUGCAGUCGCAGCCAGGCACCUUUUCCUUUGGGACCUGUCCAGCUUGAUUGGUAAUCCUGCUGCAAACUACUCCUGAUGGUGGGCAUUGAGUACAUUUAGUGCCAUUCACACUCGCAGUGCUUCCUCCAAGUGCUGUUCAACAUGGAGUUUUUUUCCAUUUAAAAUCACUCUUGGGAUAUGGAAAUCACCAGCUGGACCAGUGUUUAUUGACCAGAAGGCAGUUAAUAGUCAA